CCUGGCGGCCAUAGCGAGCGGGAACCACCCGAUCCCUUUCCGAACUCGGAAGUGAAAACGCUCAGCGCCGAUGGUAGUGCAGGGUUCUCCCUGUGUGAGAGUAGGUCACUGCCAGGC
rnacentral:rRNA from 1 species